GGAAGGUUGGCAGAGUCAGACCGCUUGCACUUGCUUGCUCAACAAGAGGAGACAUGCGCUCCCACAGGUUCAAAUCUUGUACCUUCCGCCA
rnacentral:tRNA from 1 species